GACGAACGCUGGCGGCGUGCUUAACACAUGCAAGUCGAACGGAAAGGCCCUGCUUUUGUGGGGUGCUCGAGUGGCGAACGGGUGAGUAACACGUGAGUAACCUGCCCUUGACUGUGGGAUAACUUCAGGAAACUGGGGCUAAUACAGGAUAGGAGCUCCUGCUGCAUGGUGGGGGUUGGAAAGUUUCGGCGGUUGGGGAUGGACUCGCGGCUUAUCAGCUUGUUGGUGGGGUAGUGGCUUACCAAGGCAUUGACGGGUAGCCGGCCUGAGAGGGUGACAGGCCACAUUGUGACUGAGAUGCGGCCCAGACGCCUACGGGAGGCAGCAGUGGGGAUUAGUGCACAAUGGGCGGAAGCCUGAUGCAGCAACGCCGGGUGGUGGAUGACGGCCUGCGGGUUGUAAACCGCUUUCGCCUGUGACGAAGCGUGAGUGACGGUAAUGGGUAAAGAAGCACCGGCUAACUACGUG
rnacentral:rRNA from 1 species